rnacentral:rRNA from 1 species
GACGAACGCUGGUGGCGUGCUUAACACAUGCAAGUCGAACGGGAUUUAGUAAACAGAAGCCUCGGUGGAAGAUUACUAAUGAGAGUGGCGAACGGGUGAGUAACGCGUGAGCAACCUGCCUAUGACAGUGGGAUAGCCUCGGGAAACCGGGAUUAAUACCGCAUAAAAUCGUAGAAACACAUGUUUUAACGGUCAAAGAUUUAUCGGUCAUAGAUGGGCUCGCGUCUGAUUAGCUAGUUGGUGAGAUAACAGCCCACCAAGGCGACGAUCAGUAGCCGGUCUGAGAGGAUGAACGGCCACACUGGAACUGAGACACGGUCCAAACUCCUACGGGAGGCAGCAGUGGGGAAUAUUGCACAAUGGGGGAAACCCUGAUGCAGCGACGCCGCGUGAACGAAGAAGGUAUUCGUAUCGUAAAGUUCUGUCCUAUGGGAAGAUAAUGACAGUACCAUAGAAGAAAGCUCCGGCUAAAUACGUG